AGUACCUGUCCUUUCUAAACUCGCACAAGGGAAGCUCGCUAUCUACACCCAAACACUGCCUGGAUUUUAAAUCAUAAUAACCAGCCUCUGUGACUCAAACACUGAAACAAUAUGGCUGCACACAGGGUCCUGGGAUCAGGUUGCCAUGAUCAAAGAGAGCCACUGACUCCACACUUAAAUCUUAACUCAAAGGCUUAACAGAUCCUGGAAGCCUAGAUCAAGCCAGUGAUAAUGGACUUUAGAGGAAAGGAAUGCAGACAUGAAAGGUAUUGACGAGAUGGAAUUUACUCAUGACUGAAACACAGUGGGCCAGGCUGGCCUGAGAGGAGAAAGAGAGCAGAGGGAACCUGAGUAAGGCUGAAGCUGGAUGAAUCACAAAUGAAUGGAAUACACAUCCAGGUUUGCUGAAGUUUGGGGUUUACCAGACACAGGAAGCAAUUUCAGAGAGAGGUGCGAAGAUCUCCCAUCCCCAAGGCUGAGAGGCUGAUUCCCAAGGUCAAAUUCCUGAGCGGAGGGGACAAGAAGGAUACCUAUGCUGUCCAGACAAGUUUCAAAAGGGCUCUUGGAACUCUGAGAUUCUAUGCCACUUAUUUAAACAGUAACUGUCAGGUCAAAAAUUUGGAAAGACUACAAGAAAGUACAAACUUUUUGUUUCAUGAAUAAAAUGCCCAAA